UUUAUGGAGAGUUUGAUCCUGGCUCAGGAUGAACGCUGGCGGCGUGCCUAAUACAUGCAAGUCGAGCGAACGGACGAGAAGCUUGCUUCUCUGAUGUUAGCGGCGGACGGGUGAGUAACACGUGGAUAACCUACCUAUAAGACUGGGAUAACUUCGGGAAACCGGAGCUAAUACCGGAUAAUAUUUUGAACCGCAUGGUUCAAAAGUGAAAGACGGUCUUGCUGUCACUUAUAGAUGGAUCCGCGCUGCAUUAGCUAGUUGGUAAGGUAACGGCUUACCAAGGCA
rnacentral:rRNA from 1 species